rnacentral:sRNA from 1 species
AGAGUUGCUCUUCAUCUUCUCCCUCA